rnacentral:lncRNA from 1 species
AUGCCGACCAAUUGCGCCUGGCAAGAACCCAUCCUUCCAAAGUUCACUAUCACCCAAUUGCGUAAGUAGCUAUAUUUUUCUUUUUUUUUCCUUUUGUUUUAUACAGUGUCGUCCAUAAAAGGCAUCCAGCAUUGAUUUUCGAAUCUUGUAACGCAGCGCUGGAUUGUUUUUGGUGCGCCUUGGGGUGAUAGAUCAGCUGUGCACCAUCGCCUUCACUUAUCGAUCCGAUUGAGUCUUGGAUCUUAACGAAUGUUUACUCGCAGUUUGGACGACUAAAUGAAAGCGCUGCGAGUCCCCUUUGUUGACUUCUGUCUUGGUUGCCUCGGAUACGCCAUUAAUUACAUCCCCUCCCUCAGGAACGGGUGUUCAACGACCUACGAAUUCGUUAAUAUACGCGACUUAACCAAAUUGCUAAUGGAUUUCCGCAUUGUAAUUAAAGCUAAUUAUCUUUUUUUUUUUCUGGAAAGAAUUAUAUCAUGCUCAGCAUCACCAAAUUUUUCUUUUUUAUGUAUGAGGCCUAGUCCAUUGUAUUUAUGAGAGUUUAACCUCCUGUUAACCGGUUCAUCUCCAAAAGAUGCAGGCUGGUGUUCGGAUCGCAGCUGGAAUUGGUACAGGAUCCUGAUGAUUUUCAUAGUAUACCUUUACGCACGAUGGAUGGUCAGAAAACAUGACUCACCUUUCAAAAUUAAUAACUUCCAAUUAGUUAUCGUUAAUGAAGCUUGGCUCCAUUAGUCGAGUAUGUUUGUCUUUCUAUAAGUUUUAGUCUAGUAUUUCCGGUGUAGUAUAUCACCACGCAGUGAUUCAUCUGUAAAUAAUGAAAGGUAAAGCAGGUGAGUGUCUUCUGCGACUUUUUUUUCGUGGAAAAAAAAUGACUAAUGUUUGAAAAUCGCUGAAAGAGACGAAACACGUUCCGGUCGUGUGAUUGUUUAUCAAUUUAUUAAGCUCUGCCGGUGAUUAAUAGGUUCCCAGGAGGUUUUUCUAAAUUUACUAUGCCCCGUCGACGCCACUUCGUCCGAAACUGGGUGGGCUAUCUGGUUGCGUUUUGGGAGAAGAAAGAGCGAGAGAGAAGAGUCAUCGUCAAGGUGACUCAUCCGUCACCUGGUUAGGCCACGUGCGUCAUUUCAUCCAUUCACCUGCUCCCUGGCGUGUCCGGCCCGGAUGGACUUAGUAGUCUCUUUCCUUGGCCCAUACGGACUUCCGGUGGGCGAUAGGAUCACGUGAUUUCCUACUAAACCCUCCCCUAUGAGUUGUGUUUCCGGCAUGGCCGAGCAACACGCCACAGAUUCUCGAUUGUAAAAGCCGAAUAGACCUCAACAAUGAAUCGUUCAGAACGGAAUGUUUACGGUAUAGCUGGCACGCACUUGUAAUCAGAUCCACUACUUUUCUCAUCCCACAGUAUCUUGUUGUUAGCCGUUAAUAAAGAAGUUAUAAAUUUCGAAACGUUUUCCUCGAAUCUAUUAAGAAAAAUCUGACCCUUAU